AUCUACUUCAUAAAUUGCAAAUAUGACAAUAUUAUCCUUCCAAAAUAAGAAAGGAAGCAACAUAGAAAGAUUAUCGAAAAUAAAUUAAACGUUGAUUGAUGCGACGGCAAAAGAAAUACAAUACAUAGCAAUGAAAUUAGGAAAUAAUGACAAACGGGCGAUCAUCUAGUACAAGAAGACUGCAUUAGAUUCAUGAUAAGAAUGCUUAUCUUGUUGACUGCAUUACUUUUCUUUUCAACCUGCAACACAAACAUGUCACCAACAUGAUUGCUGCACCAUUACAUCAUACUGAUUACGUAUUAAAAUUUCAUUCAAAACAUAAGCAGUAGUUAUUACCAGAGAGAACCGUAUACCUUUUUCUUCUCCAUUUCAACAAUCAGAAUAUUAAGAAUUAACAAAAAAAGAAAAUCAGUCCUAUGAUGAGGAUGGUGAGUAUAUUAUUUAUAUUAGAAUUUUUUGCCCUUUUCUUUAAAGGGACACUAGCAGUCAAUAUUGAUAAUGAACUGUAUGUAAGUGGAGGAUAUAAAAAUCAGGGUACAAAACCGUUAUAUUAUGAUAUUUUUACAUAUGAAACUGUUGUGCUGGUGCUAUUUCGACUCUUUAUACCACUGCUAUAUCGACAUUACGAGUAGUGUACAAGUAUAUAAUUCUAGGCAGAAAACACCGGGACACCCAGUCAGCACAAAACAUAGAUUCUGCUCAGAACAACACGCCUGAUAAUGAUUUUGUGCUGUUCCAAAUUGCUGCCCAAACUGUUUGAUCAAAUGCAACUUUUGCAGGGACUACGUACCGAACGAAUCCUGAUAAUCAUUGCUUGACCAAUGCUUCAGAUGCAGAUCCGUCAUAAUCGAUUUAUUGCAAUCCCAGAAUUCUUUUCAUCUCUUUCACAUCCUUCCGAUACUCCCGGACCCUACGAACCGUUCGUGGCAAGUGUCUCACACUCGAUGCAGCAAAUUUCAAGCAAAACUUAGCUUUUAACCAAUUCUCCAUUUCCACAAUGCCUAGAUAUUCCAAUCCCUCGAGCCCUUUCACUGUCUUCAGCUGUGAGCAUCCCUUCAGAUUCAAAUCCCACAGGUUCUUCAGACCAGACAUGUCUGGCAACUCCUUCAAAGAUUUGCAACCUAACAUGUUCAACUUCCUUAACAUCCCCAAAUUCUCUAAACCUGUGACCUUAACCAACUCUCUGCAUUCACUUACGUCCAAAUCAUCCAAAUCCUCCAACCCGGAUACAUCUGGAAGCUCCCGAAUCGACCAACAUCCAGACAGAUUCAGCUUCUGCAACGAUCCCAGUCUGCCGAGGCAUGUGACCUCGACCAACAGUACGCACCCGCUGACAUCGAGCUCCACCAAAUUCUUGAGGCCCGACACAUCAGCCAGCCUCCUGACUGACUUGCAACCUCUCAUUUGUAACGUCGCCAACGAUUUCAGCCUCUCGAGGCCAGUCACUUCGACCAGCUGUAUGCACCCACUGACAUCGAGAGUCUCCAGGUUCUCGAGGCCCGAUACGUCAGCCAGCCUCCUGACUGACUUGCAACCCCUCAUUUGUAACGUCUCCAACGAUUUCAGCCUCUCGAGGCCAGUCACUUCGACCAGCUGUAUGCACCCACUGACAUCGAGAGUCUCCAGGUUCUCGAGGCCCGAUACGUCAGCCAGCCUCCUGACUGACCUGCAGGCCUUAAUUUCUAGCGUUUGUAACGAUUUCAGACUCUCGAGCCCUGUGACCACAGCGGGCAUGUGUCUCCACCCUGUGACCUGCAGUUGUUUCAGUUCUUGGAGACGCGAGAGGUCCGGAAAUCGUUCGAGUUGAACAAGAUACUGGCGUAAAACGUGGGGGAUAUGACUGUCAUCGUCUUGCACCACGGCCAGAAACCACUGGUCGUCAUCC
rnacentral:lncRNA from 1 species